UGAGGAAUAUUGGGCAAUGCCCGCAAGGGUGACCCAGCAACGCCGCGUGGAGGAUGAAUGUCGUAAGAUUGUAAACUCCUGUUAGAGGGGAAGAAUAGUACCGGUUGGACCGGUAUAUGACUGUACCCUCAGAGAAAGCCCCGGCUAACUACGUGCCAGCAGCCGCGGUAAUACGUAGGGGGCAAGCGUUGUCCGGAUUUACUGGGUGUAAAGGGCGCGCAGGCGGAAUGGAAAGUCAGUGGUGAAAUCCUACAGCUUAACUGUAGAACUGCCUUUGAUACGUUCAUUCUUGAGUUCGGGAGAGAGAGACGGAAUUCCAGGUGUAGUGGUGAAAUACGUAGAUAUCUGGAAGAACACCAGUUGCGAAGGCGGUCUCUUGGUCCGAUACUGACGCUGAGGCGCGAAAGCGUGGGGAGCAAACA
rnacentral:rRNA from 1 species